ensembl:lncRNA
GAGCUUGCGGAACGGCGGGAGACCCCCCCCCGCUCCCCCCCUUCGUGUAAAGGGGGGAGUUUAGGGAAACCGGGCCCCCCCCCCCUCUCGGGGUUUUGGGGCUGGGGGGAACCCGGGGGUUUUUAGCGGGGUUCCCGGGGGGUUGUCGAUCCCCCCCCCCCCCCCCCACCCCCGGGCGACCCCCGGGGCCUGUUGCUCUAACUGCUGCUACUCAUCCAGAAAAGUGGGGAGGCAGCCCCCGGGGCGCUCUGGAGGGCUGGUGCGCGGCGCGGCCCGGGGGGCGCGGGCGAGCGGGUGGGGGGACCCGGAGCGCCGCGGCCGCUGCCCUGGGCGUCGCGCAUCCUUGCCCGGGGCCGAAGCCCUGGGAGAGAAGGGACGGAGGCGGGGGUGGGAGCUGUCCCCUCGUCACCCCUCUGCAGCCACCUUUCCUUUCUCCAGCGGCUCGGCCCCUGUAGUCGCGGGUGGCUGGGAGGAGAGGGUGCCCCUGCGUUGUGGGCUUCUCGGGCUAGCCAUCCGGGAGUGUGGGUUCGCACAAAGAUGGGCCCCCCGGCGAGGGGCCGGUGCGGGGCGGGUGCGGGCGCGAGAGCCCCUGACCCCCUUUGGAUGUGCCGAUGACGAGCUGCGAGCUUCGGAAGCCCCAAACUUCCUUCGGAGGGUUAAAGGAGUCCCUGUGUGUCCUGCUGGAGUGAGGAGGCUGUGGGCUGCAGCACCUGUUCUCACCGUGGGCAUUGCAAUCUUCAGAUGCGCAACGCACCACUUAGGGGCUAUGUGCAAGCUUAUUGGCUUCAUUAAAGUUGGAUUCUAUGUUUUGUGCAUAAUUCUUUAAAAGAGUGCAUCAUCUAGAAAGCUGUUUAGGAGCGAAGUCACUUAAACGCCAGAGAACUAUACUGAAAUAAUGGAGUAAGUUGUUGUCUCUGUUCUUUGAAAUAGCUUUAAAAGAACCUAAAGCCCUAUGCCAAAGGCCCUGUACUUUGCUAUCCUUGUGAAAUAUAAGACACGUAUAUAUAAAGUCUUAAUCUUAUAAAUACUACAGUAUUAAGAAGAUGGAAAUUCAAGUAUUUAAAUUGUGGUUUUACAGGCUUCGUGUGUAAAAACGUAGGGAGUUAGAGAUGAUUAGGUUGGAAAGAACAUUGAGGGGUGGUUGAAGGCAUGGACCUCCCUUUGCUGUUUUCAUGAACUGAGAAUUCUGUUUGAAGGGCUGAAAGACUGGAAUCAAACUUGCAUGGAUUGCAGAAACAGAUACCAAAAUGUAUCUUUGAUCAAGUAGUGAGUUAGCACGAAGGGUAUCUUGCGAUUCACUAGAUUAGAGGUUCAAAAUAAUUUCCAUAAAAUUGGCUUUGUAUAGCUUGUAUUCUAAGGAUGUUCUUGAGUUUAAAAAGUAAGUUCAGGUUGUUUUCUUGUAAGCCAGUUCUAUUUGAGACGUGUAAAAUUGACAGACUCUUUCUGAAUACAUUAUGUAGUGUUUUGUUACAGAUUCCAACUUGUUAUUUUAAGGAAUUAGAGUGUCUUUAAAAGUAGUGAAAUUUGAAAUUUGCUAGUGGGUUGGAAAAGCUUGGGUUCCUUCCUUAUGUUUCUAAAAUGCGGUUAUACUAGCAUGUUGGUCUGGAGGGGGAGCUAGUGCCAAAGCAAAGUGUAGCUUAAUAGAUGUUUGAGCUUUUAAAACACCUAACCCCAGGUUUUUAUGAAAGGAGAAAGAAAUCUUAAUGAAGGGCAGGGGAAUUGAUGGGUGCAUGUGUCUGCACAUGUCUUUGUGGGGUACAUACAUUGUGUAUUGCAAAUUGAUUUGAAAAUCUUCCUAGGAUCUGACAUGAUGGAAAGGAAGUGCAUAAGAUUUCUUGAACUUGCUGAUUUAAACUCAGAACAUGUAUCCUAAAACUUACUGUGUAACAGUAUUUUCUUAACUUUCUUGUGUACUGUAUCAGAAAGGUGUGUAUUCUUGACCCGUUUUGUAUUUUGUAUGUUUUUUAUGAAUAUUUAUAGUUGUGAAAUUUCAUAAAAAAUACUUCAGAUAGAGUCUUGGGUAGGCAGAGUGCAGAAAGCUGGGUGUUUGUCAAAAAGUAGAGAUCCUUUCAAUGAAGAAAUGGGCCUCUCGGACUUGCAGAGUGGCAGUAUCCAUCCCAAGGUCACUUCUUAACUGCUGUCUCCUGCAGUGCAAUGCAGUGAGUCCAGCUGAUCCAAAGUAAAUCUGCACCUUUGAAUAUGAAACAGUUAUUUUGUGGUCUGUGGCACUUUAUUUAGAUUUCUAAACUAUAGCUAAUUAGGGAUGUUAAUUUAUCUCUGACCUGUUACAUAUCUUUCUUUAUUUAAAAAUUUAUUUUGAUUUAAUUUGGAAGGCAGAGAGAGAGAGACAGAUACAGAGACAGAGAGAUUUUCCAUUCACUGGUUUACUCCCCAAAUGCUGGCAACAGCCAGGGAUGUGCCAGGGUGAAACCGGGAGCCUGUAAUUCAAUCUGGGUCUCCCCAAUGGGUGGCAGGGACCCAAGUACUUGAGCCACCACCUGCUGUCCUCCAGGGUGUGCAUUAGUAGGAAGCAGGUUUGGAAGAGGUUGCUCCCAUGUGAAAUAUGGAUGUCUCAAGUGGGGACUUAACUGCCCUGCCAGAUGUCCACCUCUUACAUAUUCUUUAAAUGACGUAUAUAUUGAAUUCAUUAAUAUAUUCUGUUUUCUGAGGAUAGUGAUUGAGUCCUUUGUUAACCAUAACAAAGUUAAAUAUAUUUUAUAAAUAGGAUUUCAAUGCUGAUAAAAUAAAAAAAUCUUCCAUUUCUUUAAUGCUUAUUUU